AUCAACAUGACCUUCAUCAUCAUCUUCAUCUGGACUCUCACAGCGUUUGCUCAAGAGUGUAGAGGACAGAUCAGCGUCACUCAGAGUCCCUCAACGACAGCAGCUCAACCAGGAGAAACAGUUAAGAUCAACUGUAGAACCAGCACAAAUGUGUAUUACAGUGGUGCUUAUCUUUUAGCCUGGUACUUCCAGAAACCUGGAGAAGCUCCUAAACUCCUGAUUUAUUAUACAAACUACCUCCAGUCAGGAACUCCAUCUAGAUUCAGUGGCAGUGGAUCUAACAGUGAUUUCACUCUGACCAUCAGUGGAGUCCAGACUGAAGAUGCUGGACAUUAUUACUGUCAGAGUUAUCACAGUGGUAAUGUGUUCACACAGUGA